AUCUAUCUUUUUUCAGAUCCAGAUUUGAAGAAAGGACUAACGAAUCAGAUGCAGGUAUCUCACAGAGAGGAAAGCUAAGACAUUCUAUUUCUAUUGAGGUCUUUCACGUAUCAAGCUUUUGCAACCCUAAGUCUUGAUGUGCUUUGCCUGGUGCAAGAAAAAAGAAGGUCAGAACAUGGAAGAAGAAGUGAGUGAAAACCCCCUACCCCGCCGAUGUGCAAGUAAACACCCCUCCGCCAUCAAAGACAGUGCUAUGGCUGUGGCACAUGCAGGUGAACCCUCG